rnacentral:rRNA from 1 species
CACGCUGGGUGAUCUACCCUUGGUUUGGGGAUAGCUCGUGGAAACACAGGGAUAAUACCGAAUACGUCGGCAGGACUGCGGUCCUGUCGGGAAAGGCGCUAAGGCGCCNACCGAGGAUGAGCCCGCGCCCCAUUAGCUAGUUGGUGAGGUAAUGGCCCACCAAGGCUAUGAUGGGUAGCCGGCCUGAGAGGGUGUACGGCCACACUGGGACUGAGAUACGGCCCANACUCCUAC